ACACACCUAGAUCCUCAGGUGAGUAGACUACUGGCAAGAAGCAGAGGGCGGGAUAUACCCAAUCAGCCCUCCCUUCACCAGUCAGAUCACCUGAGGGUAGGGGUGCCGGCGUCUAUGAGUCUGGGCUGUCACUCACUUUCUUGCAGUGGCUUUGGUGAAUCCAAGAUGGUCUCUCUGCUAUCUUACAGGCGGUUGGUGUGGUGAUAAGCACUUGGUAUGGACCUUCCCAGCGGGGCGAGCUCCAAUUCUUUCUCUGGAGAACUCGAAUCAGGACCCAAUCACCUGGCUUCAACCUGCAAGAUACUGGAGAAGAUUCAGAAGGCAGUUUAUUGUUCAAAACAAUAUCUUUGUUUUCUAGUAGCUUCGACAUCCAUUCUGCUAGUGUGGUCUCUCUGAUUGA